rnacentral:rRNA from 1 species
UAGGGAAUCUUCCACAAUGGGCGAAAGCCUGAUGGAGCAACGCCGCGUGGGUGAAGAAGGUCUUCGGAUCGUAAAACCCUGUUGUUAGAGAAGAAAGUGCGUGAGAGUAACUGUUCACGUUUCGACGGUAUCUAACCAGAAAGCCACGGCUAACUACGUGCCAGCAGCCGCGGUAAUACGUAGGUGGCAAGCGUUGUCCGGAUUUAUUGGGCGUAAAGCGAGCGCAGGCGGUCUUUUAAGUCUGAUGUGAAAGCCCCCGGCUUAACCGGGGAGGGUCAUUGGAAACUGGGAGACUUGAGUGCAGAAGAGGAAAGCGGAAUUCCAUGUGUAGCGGUGAAAUGCGUAGAUAUAUGGAGGAACACCAGUGGCGAAGGCGGCUUUCUGGUCUGUAACUGACGCUGAGGCUCGAAAGCGUGGGGAGCAAACAGGAUUAGAUACCC